UACGUAGGGGGCAAGCGUUGUCCGGAAUCAUUGGGCGUAAAGCGCGUGUAGGCGGCUUCGUAAGUCCGUUGUGAAAGUCCAGGGCUCAACCCUGGAAUGCCGAUGGAUACUGCGGAGCUAGAGUCCGGAAGAGGCGAGUGGAAUUCCUGGUGUAGCGGUGAAAUGCGCAGAUAUCUGGAGGAAUACCGGUGGCGAAGGCGGCUAUCUGGCCCGUAAUUGACGCUGAGGCGCGAAAGCGUGGGGAGCAAACAGG
rnacentral:rRNA from 1 species